UGCAUAUCAAAAGCGGAGGAAAAGAAACCAACAGGGAUUGCCUCAGUAACGGCGAGUGAAGCGGCAAAAGCUCAAAUUUGAAAUCCCCCCGGGGAGUUGUAAUUUGAAGAUUGCGUCUUGGAGGCGACCGUGUCUAUGUUCCUUGGAACAGGACGUCACAGAGGGUGAGAAUCCCGUGCGGCACGGCCCCCGGCUCCUUAUAAGGCGCUCUCGACGAGUCGAGUUGUUUGGGAAUGCAGCUCAAAGUGGGUGGUAAAUUCCAUCUAAAGCUAAAUACAGGCGAGAGACCGAUAGCGAACAAGUACAGUGAUGGAAAGAUGAAAAGCACUUUGAAAAGAGAGUGAAACAGCACGUGAAAUUGUUGAAAGGGAAGGGCAUGCCGUCAGAUUGUCAGUGUGGGUAAGAAGCGGGGUACAAAGACUGUGGAACGUGGCCCUCGGGUGUUAUAGCCGCAGUUCAUGCCCCGUCUCUUUCCGAGGCCUGCUUUGAGGACACCGACGUAAUGACGGUACGCCGCCCGUCUUGAAACACGGACC
rnacentral:rRNA from 1 species